rnacentral:rRNA from 1 species
CACGGGGGGAGCAAGCGUUGUUCGGAAUUACUGGGCGUAAAGAGUGUGUAGGCGGUGCUCUAAGUUCGGUGUGAAAUCUCCUGGCUCAACUGGGAGGGUGCGCCGGAAACUGGAGUGCUUGAGCGUGGGAGAGGAAAGCGGAAUUCCUGGUGUAGCGGUGAAAUGCGUAGAUAUCAGGAGGAACACCUGUGGUGUAGACGGCUUUCUGGACCAUAGCUGACGCUGAGACACGAAAGCGUGGGGAGCAAACAGG